GAGAGUUUGAUCCUGGCUCAGGACGAACGCUGGCGGCGUGCCUAAUACAUGCAAGUCGAACGCUUCUUUUUCCACCGGAGCUUGCUCCACCGGAAAAAGAGGAGUGGCGAACGGGUGAGUAACACGUGGGUAACCUGCCCAUCAGAAGGGGAUAACACUUGGAAACAGGUGCUAAUACCGUAUAACAAUCGAAACCGCAUGGUUUUGAUUUGAAAGGCGCUUUCGGGUGUCGCUGAUGGAUGGACCCGCGGUGCAUUAGCUAGUUGGUGAGGUAACGGCUCACCAAGGCGACGAUGCAUAGCCGACCUGAGAGGGUGAUCGGCCACAUUGGGACUGAGACACGGCCCAAACUCCUACGGGAGGCAGCAGUAGGGAAUCUUCGGCAAUGGACGAAAGUCUGACCGAGCAACGCCGCGUGAGUGAAGAAGGUUUUCGGAUCGUAAAACUCUGUUGUUAGAGAAGAACAAGGAUGAGAGUAACUGUUCAUCCCUUGACGGUAUCUAACCAGAAAGCCACGGCUAACUACGUGCCAGCAGCCGCGGUAAUACGUAGGUGGCAAGCGUUGUCCGGAUUUAUUGGGCGUAAAGCGAGCGCAGGCGGUUUCUUAAGUCUGAUGUGAAAGCCCCCGGCUCAACCGGGGAGGGUCAUUGGAAACUGGGAGACUUGAGUGCAGAAGAGGAGAGUGGAAUUCCAUGUGUAGCGGUGAAAUGCGUAGAUAUAUGGAGGAACACCAGUGGCGAAGGCGGCUCUCUGGUCUGUAACUGACGCUGAGGCUCGAAAGCGUGGGGAGCAAACAGGAUUAGAUACCCUGGUAGUCCACGCCGUAAACGAUGAGUGCUAAGUGUUGGAGGGUUUCCGCCCUUCAGUGCUGCAGCUAACGCAUUAAGCACUCCGCCUGGGGAGUACGACCGCAAGGUUGAAACUCAAAGGAAUUGACGGGGGCCCGCACAAGCGGUGGAGCAUGUGGUUUAAUUCGAAGCAACGCGAAGAACCUUACCAGGUCUUGACAUCCUUUGACCACUCUAGAGAUAGAGCUUCCCCUUCGGGGGCAAAGUGACAGGUGGUGCAUGGUUGUCGUCAGCUCGUGUCGUGAGAUGUUGGGUUAAGUCCCGCAACGAGCGCAACCCUUAUUGUUAGUUGCCAUCAUUUAGUUGGGCACUCUAGCAAGACUGCCGGUGACAAACCGGAGGAAGGUGGGGAUGACGUCAAAUCAUCAUGCCCCUUAUGACCUGGGCUACACACGUGCUACAAUGGGAAGUACAACGAGUCGCAAAGUCGCGAGGCUAAGCUAAUCUCUUAAAGCUUCUCUCAGUUCGG
rnacentral:rRNA from 1 species